CGGGGUGCACCAGGCGCGAAACCUCUGCAAUAGGCGAAAGCCUGACAGGGUUACUCUGAGUGAUUCCCGCUAAGGGGAUCUUUUGGCACCUCUAAAAAUGGUGCAGAAUAAGGGGUGGGCAAGCCUGGUGUCAGCCGCCGCGGUAAUACCAGCACCCCGAGUGGUCGGGACGAUUAUUGGGCCUAAAGCAUCCGUAGCCGGCCACGCAAGUCCUCCGUUAAAUCCACCCGCUCAACGGUUGGGCUGCGGAGGAUACUACGUGGCUAGGAGGCGGGAGAGGCAAGCGGUACUCAAUGGGUAGGGGUAAAAUCCUUUGAUCCAUUGAAGACCACCAGUGGCGAAGGCGGCUUGCCAGAACGCGCUCGACGGUGAGGGAUGAAAGCUGGGGGAGCAAACCGGAUUAGAUACCCGGGUAGUCCCAGCUGUAAACGAUGCAGACUCGGUGAUGGGAUGGCCUCGAGCCAUCCCAGUGCCGCAGGGAAGCCGUUAAGUCUGCCGCCUGGGGAGUACGGUCGCAAGACUGAAACUUAAAGGAAUUGGCGGGGAGCACAAGGGCGA
rnacentral:rRNA from 1 species